UACAGAGGUCCCGAGCGUUGUUCGGAUUCACUGGGCGUAAAGGGUGCGCAGGUGGGUUGGCAAGUUUGAUGUGAAAGCCCCGGGCUUAACCCGGGAAUGGCAUUGAAUACUGCUGAUCUGGAGGAUCGGAGGGGGACUGGAAUUCUUGGUGUAGCAGUGAAAUGCGUAGAUAUCAAGAGGAACACCAGUGGCGAAGGCGAGUCCCUGGACGAUACCUGACACUGAGGCACGAAAGCCGGGGGAGCAAACAGG
rnacentral:rRNA from 1 species